ensembl:snoRNA SNORA70 Small nucleolar RNA SNORA70
CUGCAGUCAAUUAAGCCGACUGGGUUCCUUGCUGGUGGGUGCCCCGUGUGCAAUGGCUGCGGAUAGCAAGCUCCUCGGUUGUGUACGCAGCCUGUUGCUUGUACGGGCUGCCCUAAGGGACCUUGGAGACACUC